CUGUGAUGGGGAGAAGACAUUGUGUCUUCGAGUCGUUGAUUUCACACUGCCGAGAAAAGCCUCUAGAUAGAAAAUAGGUGCCCGUACCGCAAACCGACACAGGUAGUCAAGAUGAGAAUUCUAAGGUGAGCGAGCGAACUCUCGUUAAGGAACUCGGCAAAAUGACCCCGUAACUUCGGGAGAAGGGGUGCUCUUUAGGGUUAACGCCCAGAAGAGCCGCAGUGAAUAGGCCCAAGCGACUGUUUAUCAAAAACACAGGUCUCUGCUAAACCGUAAGGUGAUGUAUAGGGGCUGACGCCUGCCCGGUGCUGGAAGGUUAAGAGGAGUGGUUAGCUUCUGCGAAGCUACGAAUCGAAGCCCCAGUAAACGGCGGCCGUAACUAUAACGGUCCUAAGGUAGCGAAAUUCCUUGUCGGGUAAGUUCCGACCCGCACGAAAGGCGUAACGAUUUGGGCACUGUCUCAACGAGAGACUCGGUGAAAUCAUAGUACCUGUGAAGAUGCAGGUUACCCGCGACAGGACGGAAAGACCCCGUGGAGCUUUACUGUAGCCUGAUAUUGAAAUUCGGCACAGCUUGUACAGGAUAGGUAGGAGCCUUUGAAACGUGAGCGCUAGCUUACGUGGAGGCGCUGGUGGGAUACUACCCUAGCUGUGUUGGCUUUCUAACCCGCACCACUUAUCGUGGUGGGAGACAGUGUCAGGCGGGCAGUUUGACUGGGGCGGUCGCCUCCUAAAAGGUAACGGAGGCGCUCAAAGGUUCCCUCAGAAUGGUUGGAAAUCAUUCAUAGAGUGUAAAGGCAUAAGGGAGCUUGACUGCGAGACCUACAAGUCGAGCAGGGUCGAAAGACGGACUUAGUGAUCCGGUGGUUCCGCAUGGAAGGGCCAUCGCUCAACGGAUAAAAGCUACCCCGGGGAUAACAGGCUUAUCUCCCCCAAGAGUUCACAUCGACGGGGAGGUUUGGCACCUCGAUGUCGGCUCAUCGCAUCCUGGGGCUGUAGUCGGUCCCAAGGGUUGGGCUGUUCGCCCAUUAAAGCGGUACGCGAGCUGGGUUCAGAACGUCGUGAGACAGUUCGGUCCCUAUCCGUCGUGGGCGUAGGAAAUUUGAGAGGAGCUGUCCUUAGUACGAGAGGACCGGGAUGGACAUACCUCUGGUGUACCAGUUGUCGUGCCAACGGCAUAGCUGGGUAGCUAUGUGUGGACGGGAUAAGUGCUGAAAGCAUCUAAGCAUGAAGCCCCCCUCAAGAUGAGAUUUCCCAACUUCGGUUAUAAGAUCCCUCAAAGAUGAUGAGGUUAAUAGGUUCGAGGUGGAAGCAUGGUGACAUGUGGAGCUGACGAAUACUAAUCGAUCGAAGACUUAAUCAAAUU
rnacentral:rRNA from 2 species